UAGGUAUAAGAAGCGAACCUAGGGAACUGAAACAUCUAAGUACCUAGAGGAAAAGGAAUCAACAGAGAUUCCGGUAGUAGCGGCGAGCGAAACCGGACCAGCCCUUAAGCUUAUUUUAGUCCAGCAAAAUAUUCUGGAAAGUUUAGCCAUAGUAGGUGAUAGCCCUGUAUGCGAAAGACUAAUUUAAGUGAAAUCGAGUAGGUCGGGACACGAGAAAUCUUGACUGAACAUGGGGGGACCAUCCUCCAAGGCUAAAUACUCUAUGCUGACCGAUAGUGAACCAGUACCGUGAGGGAAAGGCGAAAAGAACCCCGGCGAGGGGAGUGAAAUAGAACCUGAAACCUUGUGCUUACAAGCAGUCGGAGCAGACUUGUUCUGUGACGGCGUACCUUUUGUAUAAUGGGUCAACGACUUAAUUUCAGUAGCAAGCUUAACCAUUUAGGGUAGGCGUAGGGAAACCGAGUCUUAAUAGGGCGCUCAGUUGCUGGAAUUAGACCCGAAACCGGGUGAUCUAUCCAUGGCCAGUGUGAAGGUCGAGUAACAUCGACUGGAGGCGCGAACCCACUUAUGUUGAAAAAUGAGGGGAUGAGCUGUGGAUAGGAGUGAAAGGCUAAUCAAACCCGGAGAUAGCUGGUUCUCUUCGAAAACUAUUUAGGUAGUGCCUCGUGUAUUACUGUAGGGAGUAGAGCACUGUUUCGGCUAGGGGGUCAUCCCGACUUACCAAACCGAUGCAAACUCCGAAUACCUACAAGUAUGAGCACGGGAGACAGACUGCGGGUGCUAACGUCCGUAGUCGAGAGGGAAACAACCCAGACUGUCAGCUAA
rnacentral:rRNA from 1 species